rnacentral:rRNA from 1 species
UACGUAGGGGGCAAGCGUUGUCCGGAAUCAUUGGGCGUAAAGCGCGUGUAGGCGGCCCGAUAAGUCCGCUGUGAAAGUCCAGGGCUCAACCCUGGAAUGCCGGUGGAUACUGUCGGGCUCGAGUCCGGAAGAGGCGAGUGGAAUUCCUGGUGUAGCGGUGAAAUGCGUAGAUAUCGAGAGGAACACCUGCGGCGAAGGCGGGUUGCUGGGCUGACACUGACGCUGAUGCGCGAAAGCCAGGGGAGCGAACGGG